rnacentral:rRNA from 1 species
UUAGAGUUUGAUCCUGGCUCAGGAUGAACGCUAGCGACAGGCUUAACACAUGCAAGUCGAGGGGCAGCGCGGGUGUAGCAAUAUACCUGGCGGCGACCGGCGGAAGGGUGCGUAACGCGUGAGCAACUUGCCCGUAUCUGGGACAUAACCGGUGGAAACGCCGACUAAUUUCCCAUAACAACAUUGGAGACAUCUCCGAAGUUUGAAAGAUUCGUUGGAUACGGAUGGGCUCGCGUGACAUUAGCUAGUUGGUGUGGUAACGGCACACCAAGGCGACGAUGUCUAGGGGUUCUGAGAGGAAGGUCCCCCACACUGGAACUGAGACACGGUCCAGACUCCUACGGGAGGCAGCAGUGAGGAAUAUUGGUCAAUGGGCGGAAGCCUGAACCAGCCAUGCCGCGUGCAGGAAUAAGGCCCUAUGGGUCGUAAACUGCUUUUGUAGUGGAGCAAUAAGGUCUACGUGUAGACUGAUGAGAGUACAUUACGAAUAAGCAUCGGCUAACUCCGUGCCAGCAGCCGCGGUAAUACGGAGGAUGCAAGCGUUAUCCGGAUUUAUUGGGUUUAAAGGGUGCGUAGGCUGUGCGUCAAGUCAGCGGUGAAAGCCCGGGGCCUAACUCCGGAACUGCCGUUGAUACUGUCGCGCUGGAAUACGGAUGCCGUGGGAGGAAUGAGUAGUGUAGCGGUGAAAUGCAUAGAUAUUACUCAGAACACCGAUUGCGAAGGCAGCUGACUAAUCCGCAACUGACGCUCAGGCACGAAAGCGUGGGGAUCGAACAGGAUUAGAUACCCUGGUAGUCCACGCAGUAAACGAUGAAGGCUAGCUAUUAGCGAUAGACAGUUAGUGGCUAAGGGAAACCGAUAAGCCUUCCACCUGGGGAGUACGCCGGCAACGGUGAAACUCAAAGGAAUUGACGGGGGCCCGCACAAGCGGAGGAACAUGUGGUUUAAUUCGAUGAUACGCGAGGAACCUUACCCGGGCUUGAAAGUUAGUGACGGACCUGGAAACAGGUCUUUCCGCAAGGACACGAAACUAGGUGCUGCAUGGUUGUCGUCAGCUCGUGCCGUGAGGUGUCGGCUCAAGUGCCAUAACGAGCGCAACCCUUGUCAUCAGUUGCCAUCAUUGAGUUGGGACUCUGGUGAGACUGCCGCCGCAAGGUGAGAGGAAGGGGGGGAUGACGUCAAAUCAGCACGGCCCUUACGUCCGGGGCGACACACGUGUUACAAUGGAUGGUACAGAGGGCAGCGAAGGGGCGACCCGGAGCGAAUCUCAGAAAGCCAUUCCCAGUUCGGAUCGGAGUCUGCAACCCGACUCCGUGAAGCUGGAUUCGCUAGUAAUCGCGCAUCAGCCAUGGCGCGGUGAAUACGUUCCCGGGCCUUGCACUCACCGCCGGUCAAG